GCAGAGGGCAGCAGAGGGUCCCAGCGACUGAGGUCCCGAGGGCCCUGGGCACUGCUGUGUGCCUGGAGAUGUCACACAGGUGCACCCUGGAUUCAGGGCUGCCCGCUCCAAAUGAAUGAAAAGACUCCAGCGAGGGGAGCGCAUGCUUGGAAUGACCUCAUCCUGCUGCUGCGGAGAGAAAGCUGACGUCUGCUCUUAUUUGCAGUCAUUUUUCCUCCUUCCUGCAGAGCAGCCCUUGCUGCCGGGAGAGCACUUGGCAGGCGGCCCCACCGUGGGCUUGCCAAGGCAGCGUUCCGUCGCUGAGCACGGCUCAGAGCCCUCUGAGGGACAGCCGGGGAGGGGUCUCCCAAGGCCUGAGCCGGCUACUCAGAAAUCCUGUUGAGAAUGGCGCUCACCCUUCUGGCCUUCUCUCUGCUCCGGGGAAUGCUGGUGCUGUGUGGAGGCUUCCAGCUGUGCUUCUCCAGUGAAAGCCAAAGCCAUUCUCCUACAGUAAGACUCCAGAGGCUCUGCUCCAUGAGGCCAUGAAAGGCACCAGGAUCAUCACCAUGCAGCCGUUCUAUGAUGCCCAAGGUCCACCUGUGGCCCUUUCCCAGCUAUAGAAAGGGGCCGGAGGAGGAGAGAACAGUGGCCGCUACUCAGCACUGCCGAUGGCGUGGUGUUGCUUCUUUAGUCCCCAUGACAUUGGUCACAAUGCUCAGACCCAGCUUCAAAGGAGGCUGAUGGAUGCCCUCCCUGGGUUUGAGGCUCAUUAGUCCACUUUCCAUCACUGUGACAUGUUGCCAAAGCUGGGCGACUCUGUCGGGAAAAGAGGCUCCUUAGCUCUCAGUUAUACAGGCUCAAGGACCACAUGACCUUCUUGCUGGAAGAGUCCUGAGGUGGUGCGGGGUGUUGGAUGUUGGAUGACAGGCACUGUAUGAUUGAGUGUUCUGCUCUGUCCCUCUUAUAAAGCCACUAGGAUUCAA